UGAUGCAGCGACGCCGCGUGGGGGAUGACGGCCUUCGGGUUGUAAACCCCUUUCAGUAGGGAAGAAGCGAGAGUGACGGUACCUGCAGAAGAAGCGCCGGCUAACUACGUGCCAGCAGCCGCGGUAAUACGUAGGGCGCAAGCGUUGUCCGGAAUUAUUGGGCGUAAAGAGCUUGUAGGUGGCUUGUCGCGUCUGCCGUGAAAACCCGAGGCUCAACCUCGGGCGUGCGGUGGGUACGGGCAGGCUAGAGUGUGGUAGGGGAGACUGGAACUCCUGGUGUAGCGGUGAAAUGCGCAGAUAUCAGGAAGAACACCGAUGGCGAAAGGCAGGUCUCUGGGCCAUUACUGACACUGAGAAGCGAAAGCAUGGGUAGCGAACAGGAUUAGAUACCCUGGUAGUCCAUGCCGUAAACGUUGGGCACUAGGUGUGGGGGGCAUUCCACGUUUUCCGCGCCGUAGCUAACGCAUUAAGUGCCCCGCCUGGGGAGUACGGCCGCAAGGCUAAAACUCAAAGGAAUUGACGGGGGCCCGCACAAGCGGCGGAGCAUGCUGAUUAAUUCGAUGCAACGCGAAGAACCUUACCAAGGCUUGACAUGCACUGGACGGCUGCAGAGAUGUGGCUUUCUUUGGACUGGUGCACAGGUGC
rnacentral:rRNA from 1 species